AGCAAGGCAGCAGAUCCUAAUUUAGAAAUGGGGGCGCAAAUCAAAAUUUGUCUUUGGCGCAUUGCAUGACGGUACCAGUGGCAGGGAUGGAGGAACAUAUUUUAUUUUGGGGGUGGCUGAAUUUAAGUUCCGGCCAUAGUUGACACGCUGAGAGCAUAUGUUAUGUAGCGUAAGAGAGAAAUAAUUAACAUUCACCUGAACACAAUGUAGGAUAUUUCUUUUGUAUUUUAGCAGGCGAACAGCAAUUUGACGACCUUAUUGUUGACGACCUUAUUGUUACACGUUUGUGAAAUUCUUUCAUGUAUUUUGGGGAGGGCUACGAUUUUUACCUUGCGCGGUGCGGUGCACGAUACCACGUGUAUGGUAUGUUAAUUCAUAUUGUGAAUAAAGGUGAAAACGUGCUUUGGAACAUUGUAUUAGCGUAUUCGGGUGCCAGUAGAUUUUCGAUAUAAACGAAACAUAAUACUCUUGUCACCUGCGGUGAAAAUUUUUGACGCAUUGCAUGUUGGAGUUCGGUGUCAGGUUAUACCAUUCCACGUGUUGGCUGCAUAAACUUUGGCGAAUUUAUUUCGAAGAAGGAAAACUAUUUCGUUGAUAUUUUAGACAGAAGGUGAAAUUUACGUAAUUCUACGUUUUGGCUACAUAUUAUAGUACUGCGAAGUAUUAGAGGUAUAAGGUAUUUUGGUUGAUAUUUUGGUCCGAAGGUGAGGCUUCAACUCUUAUAUAAUCGAGUCUUUGUUCUCAGUUGCAUCAGUAAUUGAAUGCAUUGAUUUUUGAAUUUUUGUCAGUCAUCUGUCAUCAGUUGCUGACUCUUCUGUUUUGUUGCUGUAUUUGCGCCUCGUUUUUGUGUCUUGUUAAGACACUCACUAGAUCAUCAAAAGUUUAUUUCAUGUGUGUUUUUGUAUCUCAUUGGAUUCGUCGUAUCCGUUACAGCA